rnacentral:rRNA from 1 species
GAGCGGCGGACGGGUGAGUAAUACUUAGGAAUCUACCUAGUAGUGGGGGAUAGCUCGGGGAAACUCGAAUUAAUACCGCAUACGACCUACGGGAGAAAGGGGGCAACUUGUUGCUCUCGCUAUUAGAUGAGCCUAAGUCGGAUUAGCUAGAUGGUGGGGUAAAGGCCUACCAUGGCGACGAUCUGUAGCUGGUCUGAGAGGAUGAUCAGCCACACCGGGACUGAGACACGGCCCGGACUCCUACGGGAGGCAGCAGUGGGGAAUAUUGGACAAUGGGGGAAACCCUGAUCCAGCCAUGCCGCGUGUGUGAAGAAGGCCUUUUGGUUGUAAAGCACUUUAAGCAGUGAAGAAGACUCUUCGGUUAAUACCCGGAGACGAUGACAUUAGCUGCAGAAUAAGCACCGGCUAACUCUGUGCCAGCAGCCGCGGUAAUACAGAGGGUGCAAGCGUUAAUCGGAAUUACUGGGCGUAAAGGGAGCGUAGGUGGCUCGAUAAGUCAGAUGUGAAAUCCCCGGGCUCAACCUGGGAACUGCAUCUGAUACUGUUGAGCUAGAGUAUGUUAGAAGGAAGGUAGAAUUCCAGGUGUAGCGGUGAAA